AUGCCUGUCCCCAGAUGCAAAGUUCAGAACAAGCUAUUAAGCAACAAAGUAUAGCAGACUUCAUGUCCCCAUGAAACACUCACUAAAAGAGAUAUCCAAACUUUUACUUACACAUCUAACUGUUCACACUCCGGGUUUUGGAACGCCAUGCGAGGUAGAGCAAAGAGAUAGUGUCUUGAUGCCUUGGCCCUGCUACAAGUGCCACUCCCCAUCUCAGCUUAUGCAAUAAGUGAGUGAAGGUUAUGAAAACUUCGCCCAUGUCAGGCUGUGAGGCUGAGGUCAUACAGUCACACUGAAUCCACAGAUUUCCCUUUAAAACCUCCUGCAAGCAAGGAGAACACCCUGACCAGCAACCACUUACUCCCUCCACAUGGCACAGCUAACAAAUGAAGGCUCAGAAAGGAGACACAAGAAUUGAACUGACAAGAGACAAAAGUUGACCUUCAGCGCUUGGUGGAAGUAGGGAUGCAGGUCUGAAUUUGAAUGCCAGAGCUUUGGGGAUUGUUUUUAUCUGAUUCACAUCUUGAGAUCACUUCUCAGAAUAACCAAGACCUUCAGGUGGUUGGUACAGAAGUUAAACAAAAGCUUUUUAGAACUGUCAGACAUUUAAAAGUCAUUAAAAAGAAAAUCCAAAGACAAUUGUGAAGGAUAUGAUGGC